UACGUAGGGGGCUAGCGUUGUCCGGAAUCAUUGGGCGUAAAGAGCGCGUAGGCGGCCAGAUAAGUCCGGUGUGAAAGUCACAGGCUCAACCUGUGAAUGCCGCUGGAAACUGUCUGGCUAGAGUCCGGGAGGGGCGAGUGGAAUUCCUGGUGUAGCGGUGAAAUGCGCAGAUAUCAGGAGGAACACCAAUGGCGAAAGCAGCUCUCUGGGACGGUACUGACGCUGAGACGCGAAAGCGUGGGGAGCGAACAGG
rnacentral:rRNA from 1 species